ACACAUUCCAGCCAAUCAGCAGCAGACCCUCCCUCCCAGACCCUCCCACCUCCUGGACAGCAUCCAUUUUACAUUCAUUGUGAAGCUGCAUUCUUAGUGAGCUGUCCAGGAGGUGGGAGGGUCUGGGAGGGAGGGUCUGCUGCUGAUUGGCUGGAAUAUGUCU